CGAAAGUUUUAUUCUGGCUUAUAAAUUGGGUUUAAUUUUAUUUUAUAUGCAGGUUCAAGCAAUUAGGUUAAAAAUUAAAUAGCUUUAAUUUGUGGUGUUUAUGUGCAGUAAGGAAAUUUAAAUAUCAACGUUAGUUGGAUUUAGGAAUAAUUAAAUGAGUAUUGACUAAUUUUGUGCCAGCAGUUGCGGUUACACAAAUAAUACUACUUAAUUUUUUCGGUUUCAGUGGUCUUGGGGGAGACUUUCUUUAAAGUAUAAUUUGUUAGGUGAAAUUUUAAAUUAUAUAAAGGUUGAAUUUUGAGGGUAAAGCUGGGAAAUUCCAUAAUAAACUAGGAUUAGAUACCCUAUUAUUGGGAAUGUAAAUUUUGUUGCCUGAUUAGUAUUAGUUAUGUUCUUGAAAAUUAAAGAUUUUGGCGGUACUCUAGUCCAUUCAGAGGAACCUGUCCUGUAAUUGAUGGUCCACGAUUUUAUCAACUUUUUUUUAGUUUGCAUAUCGUCGUCUUUUGAAUAUGCUAAUAGGUUUAUAAUGUUCAAGAUUCUUUUUAGGAGGAAAAUCAGAUCAAGGUGUAGCGUAUAAAAAAGGAGAGAUGGGUUACAAUAAAUGUCUUUUAGGAUUUACUAAUUUAGAUUUGUAAUGAAUUUGGAUUUGAGGGUAAUUGUAAUUAAAUUAUUACGAUGAUUUAGGCUCUGGAGUAUGCACAUAUCGCCCGUCGCUUUCACUUUAAGGUGAAAUAAGUCGUAACAAAGUAGGCCUACCGGAAGGUGGGCCUGGAUAGAC
rnacentral:ncRNA from 1 species